rnacentral:rRNA from 2 species
AGCAGCCGCGGUAAUUCCAGCUCCAAUAGCGUAUAUUAAAGUUGUUGCAGUUAAAAAGCUCGUAGUUGAAUUUCGGGAUCAGUUGGUCGGUCGUGCCUCGGUACGUACUGGUCAAAUUGAUUCCUACCUUCUGACGAACCACGAUGUCAUUAAUUUGGUGUCGCGGGAAAUCAGGACUGUUACUUUGAAAAAUUAGAGUGUUUAAAGCAGGCUCGCGCUUGAAUACAUUAGCAUGGAAUAAUGAAAUAGGACGUUUGAUUCUAUUUUGUUGGUUUCUAGGAUCGACGUAAUGAUUAAUAGGGAUAGUUGGGGGCAUUAGUAUUCAAUUGUCAGAGGUGAAAUUCUUGGAUUUAUUGAAGACUAACUACUGCGAAAGCAUUUGCCAAGGAUGUUUUCAUUAAUCAAGAACGAAAGUUAGGGGAUCGAAGACGAUCAGAUACCGUCGUAGUC